rnacentral:rRNA from 1 species
UACGUAGGGGGCAAGCGUUGUCCGGAUUUAUUGGGCGUAAAGAGCGUGUAGGCGGCCUGGUAGGUCUGCUGUGAAAACUCGAGGCUCAACCUCGAGAUGUCGGCGGAAACCAUCUGGCUAGAGUCCGGAAGAGGAGAGUGGAAUUCCUGGUGUAGCGGUGAAAUGCGUAGAUAUCUGGAGGAACACCGGUGGCGAAGGCGGCAUCCUGGACCAAUUCUGACGCUGAGGAGCGAAAGCCAGGGGAGCAAACGGG